GCUGGUAUAGUUUAUUAAAAAUAUUUGUUUGUCUAACAAUAGAUGGCUAUUGCCUAUCGGUG
rnacentral:tRNA from 1 species